rnacentral:rRNA from 1 species
ACGGAGGGUGCAAGCGUUAUCCGGAUUCACUGGGUUUAAAGGGUGCGUAGGCGGGCAGGUAAGUCAGUGGUGAAAUCUCCGAGCUUAACUCGGAAACUGCCGUUGAUACUAUUUGUCUUGAAUAUUGUGGAGGUAAGCGGAAUAUGUCAUGUAGCGGUGAAAUGCUUAGAUAUGACAUAGAACACCAAUUGCGAAGGCAGCUUACUACACAACGAUUGACGCUGAGGCACGAAAGCGUGGGGAUCAAACAGGAUUAGAUACCCUGGUAGUCCACGCCCUAAACGAUGAUUACUCGACAUACGCGAUACACUGUGUGUGUCUGAGCGAAAGCAUUAAGUAAUCCACCUGGGAAGUACGUUCGCAAGAAUG